rnacentral:rRNA from 1 species
CUGGCGGCGUGCCUAAUACAUGCAAGUCGAACGGUCUUUCUAUGGAAGCUUGCUUCCACUGAGAAGAUAGUGGCGAACGGGUGAGUAACACGUGGGUAACCUGCCCAUAAGAGGGGGAUAACAUCCGGAAACGGGUGCUAAUACCGCAUAGUUUUCUUGAUCGCAUGAUUGAGAAAGGAAAGACGGCCUUUGUGCUGUCGCUUAUGGAUGGACCCGCGGCGUAUUAGUUAGUUGGUGAGGUAACGGCUCACCAAGACGAUGAUACGUAGCCGACCUGAGAGGGUGAUCGGCCACAUUGGGACUGAGACACGGCCCAAACUCCUACGGGAGGCAGCAGUAGGGAAUCUUCCGCAAUGGACGAAAGUCUGACGGAGCAACGCCGCGUGAGUGAAGAAGGUUUUCGGAUCGUAAAACUCUGUUGUCAGAGAAGAACAAGUUGGAGAGUAACUGCUCCAGCCUUGACGGUACCUGACCAGAAAGCCACGGCUAACUACGUGCCAGCCGCCGC